AUUGAACGCUGGCGGCAGGCCUAACACAUGCAAGUCGAGCGGAUGAGUGGAGCUUGCUCCAUGAUUCAGCGGCGGACGGGUGAGUAAUGCCUAGGAAUCUGCCCUGGUAGUGGGGGACAACGUUUCGAAAGGAACGCUAAUACCGCAUACGUCCUACGGGAGAAAGCAGGGGACCUUCGGGCCUUGCGCUAUCAGAUGAGCCUAGGUCGGAUUAGCUAGUAGGUGAGGUAAUGGCUCACCUAGGCGACGAUCCGUAACUGGUCUGAGAGGAUGAUCAGUCACACUGGAACUGAGACACGGUCCAGACUCCUACGGGAGGCAGCAGUGGGGAAUAUUGGACAAUGGGCGAAAGCCUGAUCCAGCCAUGCCGCGUGUGUGAAGAAGGUCUUCGGAUUGUAAAGCACUUUAAGUUGGGAGGAAGGGCAGUAAGUUAAUACCUUGCUGUUUUGACGUUACCAACAGAAUAAGCACCGGCUAAACUUCGUG
rnacentral:rRNA from 1 species